rnacentral:tRNA from 1 species
GGGGUUGUGGCUCAGUGGUAGAGCGCCCGUGUCGCACAUGUGAGACCCUGGGUUCAAUCCUCAGCACCACA